ACAAAGACACACAAAACAUCGAGUAACUUCAAACCCUUUCACCUCCCUCACGCCUCACAUCUUUUCUCAUGCCCAUCUUACAUCACAACAUCAGAUCUCCAUUUAUGAUUGCGGGUCUUCUCAAUAUCGAGUUCAGCAGCAUUGCAUCUCUAAUUAGGGUUUUUGUUUUCGGAGAUUUCACUUCUUGAUUUGGGGGUUUUGAAACACACCCGAGCUCUGGUUUCAUCUCUGAAGCAAGAUUGACCUCAGACUUUAUGCAUUGGACCUUGGCAGAACAAAUUUUCGGGUUUUGCAAUUACAUCACAGGGACUGUUAGUAGCAGCACCACAAAUAAUUGAUCCGUCAGCUUAUCCAAACAUGCAUAGCCAUAAUUCUGGUGGACAUCAUCAUGGAAUUGACAUGAGUCACCCUGUGUUAGCCUUAAGUACAAUGAUAGUAUCAAUUUCAGUUAAAGAAGGGUAUCAAUCAAGCAAACCUUUGAUUUUAUUAUUUUGAUUGUCGUAUUUGUAAGUUUUGGUGUGACAGUAAUUGCACUUAUCCUUCUAUCUUCCAUGUUGUUAAAGGUCAUAUAAUUAAUAUGUGGUCUCUCAUCCUCUUAUUUCCAGCUUGUAUUUUAUUCACAACUAUUUGAUUUCUUUUGACUCUAGGCUAUACUGGAUAACGAAGAGAGCAGGGGAAAAGUCAGGCAGUGGGUUAAUGAAAGCAAAUGCUUGGCAUCAUCGUGCAGAUGCUGUUUCAUCCGUAGUUGCUCUCAUUGGGGUUGGUAAUGAACUUCAUCCUUGUAUGUUGCCAGAUAAUCUAUAGCAUAUGUGUUCUAUUUUUUUAUGAGACAAGCACAGCUUUGGUGACAGUUUGAGUGUUAUGAUACGUUGAUAAGAUCUGACUAACAUUUGUUUGCAUUAUUGUAAGAGUUCUUGAAUGCACUAUAUGUUAACAAAUUUUACACUAAUGUGCGAGCCAGGGGAGGGUAACAAGUCAGGGUCUGUGACAGAGACUGCUAGUGAUUAUGCCCACAAAAUUGGAUAUAGAUAACAACAUUUGGUUGCUCUUUGGCCAAACAUCGCAAAUGGUGUUAUUCAGAUGAAAGGCUGAGAGAACCUAUUCCUCGCAAUGGCAGAAAAGAGCCGAUCAGCCUAGCACUGAAGACAGAAGACAAUGUAUGGUCCGAAUGAUGAAGUAGCAAUGAAUGACUUAGCACCUAACACUGACAUGUAUACUUUACAAUUGAUUUUUGAUGUUCCGGUUUGAAAUUAUGAUAGAGUUGCUUUGUAGUUUGAUGGCUUGUUUAGGAAGGGAUUUAAGAAUGUACAAGACUGAUAUUGCAAAAAUUUUAUAAAAAUUGUUGCAUUUUACUUUUU